rnacentral:lncRNA from 1 species
AGGGAGAGGUCCUGGGAGGCAGGGUGCUGGCUUGGACCAAGGCAUGUUCACACAAGUGGAUAGAAGCUGGGAACCUGGGGAUGUAUUUCAGAGACCAUCUAGAUAGGACUUCUGGUACCCAGCCCCCAUGCUGGAGACAGAGCCGAGGGCCUCACAAUGCUGGGCCAGUGUACUUCUGAGCUACUCUCCCUAUGACUUCUGCUCCUUCUUACACACACCUCACAGGCAUACAGUGGAGCCAGUGUGAUACUUGUGUUUUUGGCUUGACAGAUUGGGAUGAUGGAGGCUUCUUUCCACGGAAGAGAAGAACGACACUUUGUUUCAGCACUUCACAUAUUACUUCUCUUAAUCCUCACCUCAACCCUAUGUGAAUAUCAUCCUCAUCACUGCCACUUAUGGAGGAAACUGUGGCCUGAAGAAUUCAUAAAUGUACCCAGCAUUACACAUACCACACAGCCAGUGGGUUCACCCUGAGGAUCCAGCCCCAGCCUCUGCGUUCUUGCUACACUGCCUCUUGGUCGGGGGGAGGGGUAGGUGGAAGGACUUGGGGGCCAGGUGGGUAAAAUCCAGAGCUCUGCAGUGGGCGUGUCAGGCAGAGAUGCCCAUUGGAUGUGAGUCAGAAGUUCAGGAAAGGCUUCCACAGGCGAAGGAAAGAUUCACAGCUUGCCCAUUAUAUCCAUUCAUAGAUGUGCAAACUGAGGACAAGGAGACUAGGCUGCCCGAGGGACAUGGCAGGCUAGAGCCCAGUCCACUUGCCUCUAAACCCCUGCUUCCUGCUGCCCUGUGGGCAGGUAUGCAUGUGGAAUCAAAUGAAAGCACACCAUGCUCAGUACCGGGGAUCAACCUCAGGACCUUGCACUUCUAAGGCAGGUGUGGCACCACUGAGCUAAAUCCCAGGACCCAACAUAGACAGUCUUGCCAUCUGUAAAUAAAAAUGAUUUCACUUCUUUAUUUUCAAUCUCAAUGCCUCCGUUUCUUUGUCUUGCCUAAUUCCUGGCCAGACUUCUAGCACAAUGUUGAAUAGGUAUAACAGCAGUGGACAACUAAGUGUCAUGUUGCUGUAGGAUUUCACAGAUUUCCAUUGUGAGGCUAAGCAAAUUCUCUUUUACUCCUAGUUUUUUUUUUUUUUAAUCAAGAAGGGAUAUUGCGUAUUGUCCAUGCUGUUUU